rnacentral:pre_miRNA from 1 species
AAAAAAAGCAAACCGCGGAUUCCCGUGCUAACGUUUGACUGUCCGUCUUAUAUGAUUUUUUUUAUAAUUAGUAUUUUCAUUGUUGUUAGAUGAUAAAACAUGAUUAAUACUUUAUGCGUGACUUAUCUUUUUAAUUUUUUUAUAACUUUUUCAAAUAAGACGAACGGUCAAACGUUGGACACGGAAACCAGGGUUUGUCUUUUU